CAGUAUUGGGAAAUGCUCUUUCCUGACUGCCUAUCAGAGAGAAGCUACUGGAUUCUCAAUGGCUGUGAAGGGGUUGUAAUUAAGUCCCUCCACCUGGUGUGAGACUCCUUCAUUGCCGUAACUUCAAGUGGACAGAUGAUCAUUUCUACUGAGCACUGGGUGUUAUAGAUUAUGCAUUUGGAUUAAGACUGCAUAAUUUAGGUGGCUUGGAACAUCUGGAACAAAUGGAUUGUUUUCUGUGACUCCUUGGAGUUCUACAAAUGCAUGGAAACACCAGACUUAAUUUAUACUGGAUGAGGUCAAUACCAGAUUUUUUUAUGAAGCAGACUAAAAAGGCAAUGAUUGUUCACCGUGCCCCUCUUUCCCUCUACCCUUUCCCCACUUUUUCUCUUCCAGAAUUUACGUUUUUAAAAAGCCAUUCCCCAUUGAUUACUGUAUCAGCCUGGGGUUUCCAGAGAUAUAGAAAUAUGAGGAUAUAUAUAAAAAGGGAUUUAGUAUAAGAAAUUGGCACAGUUGACUACGGAGGCUGAGAAGUCCCAAUAUCUGCAGUCUGAAGUUCUGAAUAACAUAUUCCAGCUCAAAACCAUCAAGCAGAGAGCAAAAUCUCUCUUGCUCAUCCUUUUUGUUCAAAGUUAAGCUUUCACUGGAUUGGAGGAAACUCACCCAUUUGGGUAAGGAAAUCUGCUUUGUUCAGUUCAUUAAUUCAUAUGUUAAUCUCUUCAAAAACACAUCCAGAAUAAUGUUUAUAAAUCUGAACACCAUAUGACCUAGUCAAGCUGAUGCAUAAAAUUAACCAUCAUGAUCAAAAUUUAAGUCUCUGACAUUCUAGCAAGGAAAGACUGGGGAAGGGGGUGCAUCCCCAAACAAAAUAAUAACUAAAGCUGCUUAACAGGUUUUCCUUCAAUAAACAACUGCUUUUAUACCAAAGUGGUUGUCAAUAUUUCAUUCUAAAAUAUGAAGGAGGUUUUAACUCACUACAAGUCCAAUAGGUCUUCUAAGAAAGAAUAGAAGAGCUAGGAUUGAAGCAUUUCAAGAGGGUUUCAUGGAAGAAGGAAGGGACUUAAGCCUUGGAAAUGAGUGAGGAUUGAAUCAACAAAGAAAUGCGCAAAUGCUGCCUUACAAUUGCAUUGUUUCAGGAUCACAUCACAGGUUAACAAAUGGCAUCAGCAAACAAUGCAAUGUGCCAGUGAAUAUUUUGUAUUCCCAGUUCUUAAAUUUGGCCUUGUAGAGAAAAUUAGUUCAUAUUUGCUCUAUCUUUUUCAUCAAUUGCCUUGAGCCCUGUCAAAGACAUGUGCUAUGGAAAUAGGAGGGAGCAGAACAGAAAUUACUUCUAAGUUUAUCAAUCUCUUUUUCUGUUCAGCUUGUCAUUAGAUAUGUCAAGCUAAGGUUUAGCUUAAGUUCAUGAUCCAUGGAGAUAUUUUUAAGAAUAAUAAAUACAUUAGGUGAGACUAUUCAAAUAGUGAAACUGUUUUUCUUCUUCUCCUUCUCCUUCUUCUUCUUUCUUUUCUUCCCCCCUGACUUUUGGAUCAUCAGAAGAAUAAUUUUCAGUAGGAAAUCAACCUGAGAAGAUAGAAUAUCUUGGCUAUCCAUAAAACCCAUAAAUCCUUUUUUUUUUUUUUUUUUGGUAAACCUAUAAAGUCUUAUCUCAGAAAUGUAGAUCUCAGUUUCUCAAGGUCAAAGGAGAGAUCAUGACUUCUUUUAGAGUAAACAUAUGUCAGGCAUCAAAAAAGCCCUAUUAGUUAUAUAUAAAAGUAAUAAAUGUAAGUCUGUAAAUACUAUCUUCUAUUAUAUCAAACUACAGGUAAUUGUCAUUUUACUGCACCUCACUUUACUGCACUUUACAGAUACUGCAAUUUUUAAUAACUGAAGAUUUAUAGCAACCUUAUGUUGAGCAAGUCUAUCAGUGCCUUUUUUUAAACAGCAUUAGCUCAUUUCAUGUCUCUGUCACAUUUUGGUAAUUCUCACAAUAUUUCAAAUAUUUACAUGAUUAUUAUAUUAUGCUUAUCUGUGAUCUAUUAUCUUUGAUGUUACUAUUAUAAAAGUUUUGGGACACCAUGCCCAUAUAAGAUGCAUAUGCACCAUGCCCAUAUAAGAUGGCAAACUCACUCAAUAAAUGUUGUGUGUCUGCUCCA